rnacentral:rRNA from 1 species
AGGGUGCUUGCACCUGAUUCCUAGCGGCGGACGGGUGAGUAAUGCUUAGGAAUCUGCCUAUUAGUGGGGGACAACGUUCCGAAAGGGACGCUAAUACCGCAUACGUCCUACGGGAGAAAGCAGGGGAUCUUCGGACCUUGCGCUAAUAGAUGAGCCUAAGUCGGAUUAGCUAGUUGGUGGGGUAAAGGCCUACCAAGGCGACGAUCUGUAGCGGGUCUGAGAGGAUGAUCCGCCACACUGGGACUGAGACACGGCCCAGACUCCUACGGGAGGCAGCAGUGGGGAAUAUUGGACAAUGGGGGGAACCCUGAUCCAGCCAUGCCGCGUGUGUGAAGAAGGCCUUUUGGUUGUAAAGCACUUUAAGCGAGGAGGAGGCUUACCUGGUUAAUACCCGGGAUAAGUGGACGU